CCAAUUUAUUCCUCUCCUUACAAUCCCUGUUUCCGUAUACUCUGCAAGCCCCCUCUAUUAAUUUGCCCAGGUCCCUUAGCUUCCCAGGUACCUCACCCGUUCCUUGAAUCUGUAGAAAAUAAAGCCAUCCUUGCCCUGACUAGCAAAAGACCUUGGGAGGUGUAAACAAGUUCAGCAGACGUGGAGGGACAGAGUUUACUCUUUCAGAAAAGCUGAAAGAUUGUAACUAUUCAUGCCAGACAGACCCUCUCAACACAAUCAGGAUGGAAGAUCCAGCACUGCCACACGCAUUGGCAAGAGGGUCACGUUUAAUAAGUGCAUACUGACCAAGUGCAUAUUGUUCAUCACACACAAUAAAAGUUUUUGUUGUGCACUAACAACGGAGUCGGUGUCUAAUUGCCGCAGUAAACCUUGUUGUUAUUUGUCUUCCUCAACUGUAUGAGGACCUUUGGACAGGAUUUCAAAA
rnacentral:lncRNA from 7 species